CGCGGGGUGGAGCAGCCCGGUAGCACGUCAGGCUCAUAACCUGAAGGUCGUAGGUUGAAAUCCUACCCCCGCAACCA
rnacentral:tRNA from 1 species